AAGUCGUAACAAGGUUUCCGUAGGUGAACCUGCGGAAGGAUCAUUAAUAAAGGUUUCCAAAACACACAACUUAUGUCAACUGUUAUCAAAACCUGGUGAUGUUCCGUGGCGACUUCUACACUGUAUUUGUCGCUCGGGCUCAUCCUUUUUAAUCUUGCUUGCAUAUAAAAUCUGAGCCUUUAUUUAAAUAUAAAGACAACUUUUAGCAACGGAUCUCUAGGCUCUU
rnacentral:misc_RNA from 1 species